rnacentral:rRNA from 1 species
AUUGAACGCUGGCGGCAGGCCUAACACAUGCAAGUCGAACGAGUGGCGGACGUGUGGGUAAAGUCUGGGAAACUGCCCGAUGGAGGGGGAUAACUACUGGAAACGGUAGCUAAUACCGCAUAUCAUCGGAUGUGCCCAGAUGGGAUUAGCUAGUGGGUGGGGUAACGGUUCACCUAGGCGACGGUCCCUAGCUGGGCUGAGAGGAUGACCGGCCACACUGGAACUGAGACACGGUCCAGACUCCUACGGGAGGCAGCAGUGGGGAAUAUUGCACAAUGGGCGCAAGCCUGAUACAGCCAUGCCGCGUGUAUGAAGAAGGCUUUCGGGUUGUAAAGUACUGUCAGCGAGGAGGCGUUACUCGCAGAAGAAGCAUCGGCUAACUCCGUGCCAGCAGCCGCGGUAAUAC